rnacentral:rRNA from 1 species
GACGAACGCUGGCGGCGUGCUUAACACAUGCAAGUCGAGCGGUGCGGCGCACGGGUGAGUAACGCGUGAGUAAUUGCCCCCCUCUUUGGGAUAACAGUUGGAAACGGCUCCUAAUACCGGCUUGUGGGGGAUGACUCGUGGCCAAUAAGCUUGUUGGUGGGGUAGUGGCCUCCCAAGGCGACGACGGGUAGCAGGCCUGAGAGGGCGACCGGCCACAUUGGGCGGAGAUACGGCCCAAACUCCUACGGGAGGCAGCAGGGGGGAAUAUUGCACAAUGGGGGAAACCCUGAUGCAGCAACGCCGCGUGCGGGAUGACGGCCAUCGUGUUGUAAACCGCUGUCAGCCAGGACGCGGUAGUGGCAGAAGAAGCACCGGCUAACUACGUGCCAGCCGCCGCGGUAAUUC